rnacentral:rRNA from 1 species
CAGUCGCCGCGGUAAUACGAAGGGGGCUAGCGUUGCUCGGAAUCACUGGGCGUAAAGGGUGCGUAGGCGGGUCUUUAAGUCAGGGGUGAAAUCCUGGAGCCCAACUCCAGAACUGCCUUUGAUACUGAAGAUCUUGAGUUCGGGAGAGGUGAGUGGAACUGCGAGUGUAGAGGUGAAAUUCGUAGAUAUUCGCAAGAACACCAGUGGCGAAGGCGGCUCACUGGCCCGAUACUGACGCUGAGGCACGAAAGCGUGGGGAGCAAACAGGAUUAGAUACCCCGGUAGUCCCUGUCUCUUAUAA